UACGUAGGGUGCGAGCGUUGCCCGGAUUUAUUGGGCGUAAAGGGCGCGUAGGCGGCCACGCACGUCCGUUGUGAAAUCGCCCGGCUCAACUGGGCGGGGUCGGCGGAUACGGCGUGGCUGGAGCAAGCUAGGGGGCAAUGGAAUUCCCGGUGUAGUGGUGGAAUGCGUAGAGAUCGGCAGGAGCACCCAGGGAGAAAUCAGCCGCCUGGGCAAGUGCUGACGCUGAGGUGCGAAAGCGUGGGGAGCGAACCGG
rnacentral:rRNA from 1 species